rnacentral:lncRNA from 1 species
AGUGGGUUACAGUAUAGGACAUUUUAACAUGCAGACCUUGUUGGAACAGGGCUUUGAUGUAAUUUAAAAGGCUAAACAAAAUUAACUAAUCUUUAUUAUAAAAAAAUUAUAAACGACUCACAGAAUAUCAAGACAUAAAAAAUGAUCAAAUUUGGAAGCAUACGAGGCACUGUCCUAAAAUCUAUUCCCACCCUUCAUAUAAGAAUAUUCGAAAAAAUCAUCUCAAGAUACGAUCGGAAUCCUCCGUCUGCGAGAAAGAGAUUGAUGAAGACUCUUUCAGUACCCAAAAAGAAAAAAAUUUGAAAAAAAUAUCAGAAGG